GAUGAACGCUGGCGGCGUGCCUAAUACAUGCAAGUCGAGCGAACAGACGAGGAGCUUGCUCCUCUGACGUUAGCGGCGGACGGGUGAGUAACACGUGGAUAACCUACCUAUAAGACUGGGAUAACUUCGGGAAACCGGUGCUAAUACCGGAUAAUAUAUUGAACCGCAUGGUUCAAUAGUGAAAGACGGUUUUGCUGUCACUUAUAGAUGGAUCCGCGCCGCAUUAGCUAGUUGGUAAGGUAACGGCUUACCAAGGCAACGAUGCGUAGCCGACCUGAGAGGGUGAUCGGCCACACUAGAACUGAGACAAGGUCCAGACUACUACGGGAGGCAGCAGUAGGGAAUCUUCCGCAAUGGGCGGAAGCCUGACGGAGCAACGCCGCGUGAGUGAUGAAGGUCUUCGGAUCGUAAAUCUCUGUUAUUAGGGAAGAACAAAUGUGUAAGUAACUAUGAACGUCUUGACGGUACCUUAUCAGAAAGCCACGGCUAACUACGUG
rnacentral:rRNA from 1 species